rnacentral:rRNA from 1 species
GACGAACGCUGGCGGCGUGCUUAACACAUGCAAGUCGAACGGAAAGGCCCUGCUUUUGUGGGGUGCUCGAGUGGCGAACGGGUGAGUAACACGUGAGUAACCUGCCCUUGACUUUGGGAUAACUUCAGGAAACUGGGGCUAAUACCGGAUAGGAGCUCCUGCUGCAUGGUGGGGUUGGAAAGUUUCGGCGGUUGGGGAUGGACUCGCGGCUUAUCAGCUUGUUGGUGGGGUAGUGGCUUACCAAGACUUUGACGGGUAGCCGGCCUGAGAGGGUGACCGGCCACAUUGGGACUGAGAUACGGCCCAGACUCCUACGGGAGGCAGCAGUGGGGAAUAUUGCACAAUGGGCGGAAGCCUGAUGCAGCAACGCCGCGUGCGGGAUGACGGCCUUCGGGUUGUAAACCGCUUUCGCCUGUGACGAAGCGUGAGUGACGGUAAUGGGUAAAGAAGCACCGGCUAACUACGUG